AUGACCCUCAAGUCUCAGCUCAACUGCUCAGCCGUCCCCGUCAAACCCCGAACGAAAAUACGGCGAGACCGGCACGCCCGCCAGGCCGCGUUCACGCUUACUACCGCUUACUACGCGGCAGCAGCGGGUGGGGAGACCAAGUGGGGAGCGGGGCGCACGACUUGGACCCGGCAGCGCGCGACGUCCCAUCGACCUUGUCCCUAUCCCGCCCCGCGGCUCCACCUCCACCUCCACUCCGCGCCGCGCGCUCCGCACCGCACCGCCCGCCGUCUACCACCACAGCACACCACCACCACCAUCCCAAAAGCGAGAAAAGAAAAGGCAGGCAAGCAGACAGGCAGACAGACGGAUACGUGCCGGCGUCGCCGGGCAAUCCCCGUCCACGCCCCCCGCCUCCACCUGGCGCGGCGCCGCUCGCGCGCCAGGGGACCGCGCACCACCCGACGACCGAUUCGCAGAGGCGGCACGUAG
rnacentral:rRNA from 1 species